AGCACCAGCCCCUUGGGGGUGUUGAAGACCCCGGCUCAGGAAGACCCCGUCUACUCCAACAUCGACGACGGGAAAGAGAUGCAGACCCUGGAGCCUGACUCCGGCACCUACGCCGAGCUGGAUCGCCAGACGCUGCAGCCCAAUGUGUACGACAUGAUCAACAUGAGCCAGGGAGUCCCGCAGUGAGAGCCCCCCACAGCCAUGGGGCACCAUCCCCCCAGGGGGCAACAGACUCACCCCCCUCCAGCGCCAGCUCCAGAGAACUCUGCUUCUAGGGAAGAUUUAGGGGGGACGCUGCCCUCUCCCCGCUGCAGCCCCAUCUCAUCAAGCUGCUGUCCCCCUGCCCUGCCCAGACCCACAUAUGGGGGGAGGGGGGACUCAGCACUGGGAGGGGGAGGGGACACAUUAAGGCAGCUUUGAUGUUAUUUUGCAUCCUGUUAACUUCCAGAUUUGUAAUAAACACAGAACCACAAACCAGCCCCCAACCCCCCUGUCCUGGCGCCAGGAGAGUGUGUGUCACACCUGGGGGAGAUGGGAUUGCUCUGGGGAGGGGCAGGGUGCAUAGGCGCUGUCAGGGUUCUCUCCCCACUCUGAACUCU